GACGAACGCUGGCGGCGUGCCUAACACAUGCAAGUCGAACGGAAAGGCCCUGCUUUUGUGGUGUUCUCGAGUGGCGAACGGGUGAGUAACACAUGAGUAACCUGCCCUUGACUUUGGGAUAACUUCAGGAAACUGGGGCUAUUACCCGAUAGGACCUCCUGCUGCAUGGUGGGGGCUGGAAAGUUUCGGCGGUUGGGGCUGGCUUCGGGGGUUAUCCGCUUGUUGGGGGGGUAGUGGCUUACCAAGGCUUUGACGGAUAUGCGACAUGGGAGGGUGGCCGCGGACCAGGGGCCUACGGGAGGGAGCAGUGGGCUAUGGUAGGCAACGGGCGAGAGUAUUACACAGUAGGCGGACGCGUGUGGCGACAACGCCGGGUGCGGGAAGACGGGUUUCCGGUUGUGAACCGCUUUGGCCUGUGACGAACCGUGAGUGACGGUACUGGAUAAAGAAGCACCGGCUAACUACGUG
rnacentral:rRNA from 1 species